rnacentral:tRNA from 2 species
GUCCCCGUAGCCCAACGGCAGAGGCAGGCGACUUAAAAUCGCUCCAGUGCGGGUUCGAGACCCGUCGGGGACACCA